rnacentral:piRNA from 1 species
UAGGUACUGUGAGUAUCUAAAGAGAGC